rnacentral:rRNA from 1 species
UACAUGGGGUGCAACCGUUGCUCGGAAUUAUUGGGCGUAAAGCGCGCGUAGGCGGUUACUCAAGUCGGAUGUGAAAGCCCUCGGCUUAACUGAGGAAGUGCACCCGAAACUGAGUAGCUAGAGUACCAAAGAGGGUCGCGGAAUUCCCGGUGUAGAGGUGAAAUUCGUAGAUAUCGGGAGGAACAUCGGUGGCGAAGGCGGCGACCUGGGUGGAUACUGACGCUGAGGCGCGAAAGCGUGGGGAGCAAACAGG